ACAAACUUGGUCAUUUAGAGGAAGUAAAAGUCGUAACAAGGUUUCCGUAGGUGAACCUGCGGAAGGAUCAUUCACUAGGGAGUAAAUGGCUCCUUAAAUCCCCAUUACCACCUUGUGUGCAUUGUAAGAGGGGAAAAAAAGAAAUUUUUUUUUUUUCUCCCUUCAUUUUCUUCACUCUUAUUUCUAAUAUAUCAGUCUACAUGUUUUCGAGUGUAAAAAACUCUAAUACAACUUUCAACAACGGAUCUCUUGGCUCUCGCAUCGAUGAAGAACGCAGC
rnacentral:misc_RNA from 1 species